ensembl:lncRNA
CAACCUGCCGGACUCAUGCAAGUAGAGCGCUGAACUAUCGUGUUGGAAUUCGUCGGAAAAGGUUCAUAAUGGUUAUGCGCUCUAUACGAUUGCGUACACGCCCACAUCGGUAAUUUCUGCAAAACGUGCUUUGUUGCUCUGAGUCCUUGACACAUCCUCAUCAUGAAUAUGUAUUGAACACUUGAUUCAAGGUCCAUCAUUGGCCCCAUUGCAGGUAAAAACAUUUACCAGAAUGUCAAAUCAUAACUCAUGGGUUGAAACUUGUUGGCGCUGUGUGUGUGUGUGUCAGUGCCUCACAACGCCAAGGGCUUCCAGAGAAGAGGAACUGAACUGUGGAGUCCAUCCUCCUGACCUGACGAAGGCCGCCUCCUCAUACCUGUGCCCCCGCAUCUCUGGGAUCCUCAGAGUCCAUCGUCUUAUGCGGCCGCUGCUGUCCUCUCCUCCUCCUCUGGCUGAGACCACCCUUCACCCACCCUCAGCUGCCCCUCAUGCCCAGGGCGCAGGCAGGGUUCCACCAUCACUCCUAGUCCUGCCUGCGUACGGUUGAGUGUUUGGGCGCACAAUGGCGACCAAGCUGCGCAUCGGGUUCUAUAUCCUGGCGGCAAGCUGCCUGCCCUUCCUCUACAUCCUGUGUGUGAGCCUUGAGAUUUGGGCGUCUGGCAGGUUACACACCUUUCUUGUCGGCAGCACAAGAGACACAAACUUGAAAAACAAAAACAAAAAAAAGCAACAACUGCCAUUUGCAG